rnacentral:rRNA from 1 species
UCCAGACUCCUACGGGAGGCAGCAGUGGGGAAUAUUGCACAAUGGGGGAAACCCUGAUGCAGCAACGCCGCGUGAAGGAAGACGGUUUUCGGAUUGUAAACUUCUGUUCUUAGUGAAGAAGAAUGACGGUAGCUAAGGAGCAAGCCACGGCUAACUACGUGCCAGCAGCCGCGGUAAUACGUAGGGGGCAAGCGUUGUUCGGAAUGACUGGGCGUAAAGGGUGUGUAGGCGGUGUAGCAAGUUAGAAGUGAAAUACCUAGAGCUUAACCCAGGUGCUGCUUCUAAAACUGCUAUACUUGAGUGCAGUAGAGGAAAGUGGAAUUCCUAGUGUAGCGGUGGAAUGCGUAGAUAUUAGGAGGAACAUCAGUGGCGAAGGCGACUUUCUGGACUGUAACUGACGCUGAGGCACGAAAGUGUGGGGAGCAAACAGGAUUAGAUACCCUUGUACC